UUGAUUGCCAGUUUACUAGCUAACUAUUGUACAUCAAUGAUCUCAGGAUAUGUUAUACUUGUUUUCAGUGGAUUAGUCGUUACAUUCUUUUUACCUCCUGAUACUCAACAAGGCAAAAAUAAAAUUACAAGCGAUCUAUCAAAAGGACAUGACAGAGAAAGGACUAAAUCAUAAUACUUAUUAAGUUAACACGUCUAUUUUUAUUUAAUAAUCAUUGUAAAUACUAUUUA